rnacentral:lncRNA from 1 species
GCUGAGUGCUUGUCCUUACCAGCUACACUCUCCUGCUAGUCCAUCAAUCAAUUAGAUCAUCACUCCAUUGAGGCCAGGAAUCAUGUCUUAUUUUUCUUGCAGUAUCCUUCACUGCUGAAGGCCUCCGGGGAAUUCACCUGCCGUGCCUGCUUAUGGACUGAGAACCUGGGACUUACAUUUUGCAGCCGGUCCUUGCUCACUGACACGACUGAAACACAGCUUCUGGAACAGUAAUUCGGGUGUUAUUUGAAACACAGUAGCCUAGACCUUGACUGUACUCGCACUAGGUGGAAAAUUAAACCAGAAACUAUUACAUUCUGAUAACUACUUUUACGGUGGCUUUGGAAACUCAUGGGAUCUACUUUAGCUCACAGAAUGAGCACAAAGAAAGGACAGAUUGUAAGUGAGGAGCUGUUGGUGAUGUGAGAGUGAUACCUGCCCAAACACACUGGAAGCCAGCGGCCAUCGGUCCUGCACAUUUCAGUCCAGAGUGCUCACUGUUACACCAGGAAGACACGUCAGUCCUGCACGUUUCAAUUGGACUUGCCAUACCUGAGUUGCUAAGCUAUGAGGUUCCUGAAGACACUUCUGCUAUUGAGAGGCCAAUCAAACUGGUGAUACUCAACAGACAGAACUUUCAACAGGUACACAUCACAGGUAUUGCCCCCCACAUUUCCAGAUCAACUGUGGUAAGUAUUAUCUAUUUUGUUCCUUGUGCUUCUAAAAUGCCCUAUUACUAACUGACC